AGAACGAACGCUGGCGGCAUGCCUAACACAUGCAAGUCGAACGAGACCUUCGGGUCUAGUGGCGCACGGGUGCGUAACGCGUGGGAAUCUGCCCUUGGGUUCGGAAUAACAGCGAGAAAUUGCUGCUAAUACCGGAUGAUGACGUAAGUCCAAAGAUUUAUCGCCCAAGGAUGAGCCCGCGUAGGAUUAGCUUGUUGGUGAGGUAAGAGCUCACCAAGGCGACGAUCCUUAGCUGGUCUGAGAGGAUGAUCAGCCACACUGGGACUGAGACACGGCCCAGACUCCUACGGGAGGCAGCAGUGGGGAUAUUGGACAA
rnacentral:rRNA from 1 species